AGGAAAAGGAAGAGGCAAAAGGAAGCAAGCCUUCAGCUCAAAGGUAGUUGCUUGCCCCCAAGAGAAAUCAUCGCCAUCAUAUCACAAGACCAAGGAGAUGUAAUACAACUAUACAACAGAAACAAGCCCCUUAAGCAUUAUGCACAGAAAAUCAAUAGAGGAAGAGAAUAAG